UACGUAGGUGGCAAGCGUUGUCCGGAAUUAUUGGGCGUAAAGCGCGCGCAGGCGGUCCUUUAAGUCUGAUGUGAAAGCCCACGGCUCAACCGUGGAGGGUCAUUGGAAACUGGGUGACUUGAGUGCAGAAGAGGAAAGUGGAAUUCCACGUGUAGCGGUGAAAUGCGUAGAUAUGUGGAGGAACACCAGUGGCGAAGGCGACUUUCUGGUCUGUAACUGACGCUGAGGCGCGAAAGCGUGGGUAGCAAACAGG
rnacentral:rRNA from 1 species